GGGCGUCUAGCUCAGUGGUAGAGCGCCCGCUUCGCAUGGUGGUAUGGUUUGCGGGAGGCCAAGAGUUCAAUCCUCUUGUCGUCCA